AGAGUUUGAUCAUGGCUCAGAUUGAACGCUGGCGGAAUGCUUUACACAUGCAAGUCGAACGGCAGCACGGGGCAACCUGGUGGCGAGUGGCGAACGGGUGAGUAAUACAUCGGAACGUGCCCAAUCGUGGGGGAUAACGUAGCGAAAGUUACGCUAAUACCGCAUACGAUCUACGGAUGAAAGCGGGGGAUCGCAAGACCUCGCGCGAGUGGAGCGGCCGAUGUCAGAUUAGGUAGUUGGUGGGGUAAAGGCUCACCAAGCCAACGAUCUGUAGCUGGGUCUGAGAGGACGACCAGCCACACUGGAACUGAGACACGGUCCAGACUCCUACGGGAGGCAGCAGUGGGGAAUUUUGGACAAUGGGCGCAAGCCUGAUCCAGCCAUUCCGCGUGCAGGAUGAAGGCCUUCGGGUUGUAAACUGCUUUUGUACGGAACGAAACGGCGAGCUCUAAUACAGUUUGCUAAUGACGGUACCGUAAGAACAAGCACCGGCUAACUACGUG
rnacentral:rRNA from 1 species